rnacentral:rRNA from 1 species
AUUGAACGCUGGCGGCAUGCCUUACACACGCAAGUCGAACGGUAACAGGUCUUCGGAUGCUGACGAGUGGCGAACGGGUGAGUAAUACAUCGGAACGUGCCUAGUAGUGGGGGAUAACUACUCGAAAGAGUGGCUAAUACCGCAUGAGAUCUACGGAUGAAAGCAGGGGAUCGCAAGACCUUGUGCUACUAGAGCGGCCGAUGGCAGAUUAGGUAGUUGGUGGGAUAAAAGUUUACCAAGCCGACGAUCUGUAGCUGGUCUGAGAGGACGAUCAGCCACACUGGGACUGAGAAACGGCCCAGACUCCUACGGGAGGCAGCAGUGGGGAAUUUUGGACAAUGGGCGCAAGCCUGAUCCAGCAAUGCCGCGUGCAGGAUGAAGGCCUUCGGGUUGUAAACUGCUUUUGUACGGAACGAAAAGCCCCGGGUUAAUACCCUGGGGUCAUGACGGUACCGUAAGAAUAAGCACCGGCUAACUACGUGCCAGCCGCCGCCGUAA